UACGAACUGUGCAAACGUUAUUCGGAAUCACUGGGCUUAAAGGGUGCGUAGGCGGCUGUCUAAGUAGGGUGUGAAAGCCCCCGGCUCAACCGGGGAAUUGCGCCCUAAACUGGACGGCUGGAGUGAGGCAGGGGUGUGUGGAACUUCCGGUGGAGCGGUGAAAUGUGUUGAUAUCGGAAGGAACGCCGGUGGCGAAAGCGACACACUGGGUCUCAACUGACGCUGAGGCACGAAAGCCAGGGGAGCGAAACGGG
rnacentral:rRNA from 1 species